GAUCCUGGCUCAGGAUGAACGCUAGCUACAGGCUUAACACAUGCAAGUCGAGGGGCAUCAGAUCGAAAGCUUGCUUUGAUGCUGGCGACCGGCGCACGGGUGAGUAACGCGUAUCCAACCUUCCCUAUAGUAGAGAAUAGCCCGGCGAAAGUCGGAUUAAUGCUCUAUGUUGUAUUUAGAGGACAUCUGAAGAAUACCAAAGGUUUACCGCUAUAGGAUGGGGAUGCGUCUGAUUAGGUAGUAGGCGGGGUAACGGCCCACCUAGCCGACGAUCAGUAGGGGUUCUGAGAGGAAGGUCCCCCACAUUGGAACUGAGACACGGUCCAAACUCCUACGGGAGGCAGCAGUGAGGAAUAUUGGUCAAUGGACGGAAGUCUGAACCAGCCAAGUAAGCGUGCAGGAUGACGGCCCUAUGGGUUGUAAACUGCUUUUAUAUAGGGAUAAAGUCGGGGACGUGUCCCCGUUUGUAGGUACUAUAUGAAUAAGGACCGGCUAAUUCCGUGCCAGCAGCCGC
rnacentral:rRNA from 1 species